GAGGACUCUGAGGCAGAAGGAGAGAACAUCUCCUUCUAUUACCAAAGAUUUUUCUCUGCUAUUGACCGCAAAGGAUGCAAAGAAUGUGAUGUGUUUUGAGGGAUGAAUGUUGCAACUAAAUAGGGGAUGAGUUCUUAACGCCGAGAACUUCGUGCGAUGCACAUCGCAAAUCAAGCAGCACAACCGAAGCAUGUGAUAUGUACGGAUGUCACUAACACAGUUAAAGAGAUCCUGACUUUGGAAUGGAUUUGUGGUAUUUUCAUUUUGGAGGAUGGAUUCUGAAUGUGCAAUUCUUUUCUCCUUAGGAAACAUUCAAGUACAACUGAAGAUGUUGGGCAAAAUGCCACUAUGUAGGUAUUUACUAGAUGAUUAUCUAUGACAUCUUUUUCUUUUAAAA